rnacentral:lncRNA from 1 species
UCCCAGCUACUCAGGAGGCUGAGGCUGGAGAAUCCCUUGAACCCGGGAGGCAGAGGUUGCAGUGAGCUGAGAUCCUGCCACUGCACUCCAGCCUGGGCGACAGAGCGAGACUCCGUCUCAAAAAAAAAAAAAAAAAGAACAUCAGCGUUCUUCCCUUUUAUUCUCUACACUGAAGCAUCCAUCCAUCUGGGGCAAAUUUUCGUUUCUCAUAGAUCUAGUAUUUCUCUUUUUGCCCCCCUCUAUUCCUCUGCUGUUACAAUCUUUCUUCUUGGGUUCAUCCAACACCUGAAAAACCUUCCUAAAAAACUGUUUAGUUGGCCAGGCACAGUGGCUCAGGCCUGUAAUCCCAGCACUUUGGGAGGCCAACGCGGGCGGAUCACCUGAGGUCAGGAGUUUGAGACCAGCCUGGCCAACAUGGCAAAACCCUGUCCCUACUGAAAUUACAAAAAUGGGCUGGGCGUGGUGGCGUGCGCCUGUAAAAAAAAAAUUAAGAGCACUUAAUAGUCAUAGUUUUCACUUUGCUUAUAUACAGUGUGUGUGUGUGUAUAUAUAUAUAUCUUUUAACUCCCAUUCUACUAAAUUUACCUAAUGUUCUACAUAGAAAAUUUCAUGUAUAUUGUUUAUCAUCUUUCAAGAGUGAAUUAAACACAUGAAUAGUUUCUCAUGAAAAGGAAUAUUGAUUGGUACAGAUGUAUAAGUAUAAUGGCUAGUUGCUCAGAUCAUCAACUAAACCUAAAACAUGUGU